GGAGUCUGGGCCGUGUCUCAGUCCCAAUGUGGCCGAUCACUCUCUCAAGUCGGCUACUGAUCGUUGCUUUGGUAGGCCGUUACCCUGCCAACUGGCUAAUCAGACGCGGGUCCAUCUUGUACCACCGGAGUUUUUCACACUGUAAGAUGCCUUACUGUGCGCUUAUGGGGUAUUAGCAGUCAUUUCUAACUGUUAUCCCCCUGUAUAUGGCAGGUUACCCACGCGUUACUCACCCGUCCGCCACUAAGUCUUCCUUCCGCUUUGACCGAAAUCUCUGCUUCCGGAGCUUCGUUCGACUUGCAUGUGUUAAGCACGCCGCCAGCGUUCAUC
rnacentral:rRNA from 1 species